UCCCCCACAUCUCGGCAUGUAUAGUCAGUCCCCCACAUCUCAGCAUGUGUAGUCAGUCCCCCAUAUCUCAACAUGUAUAGUCAGUCCCCCAUAUUUUACAUGUAUAGUCAGUCCCCUAUAUCUCAACAUGUAUAGUCAUCCCCUACAUCUCAACAUGUACAGUCAGUCCCCCACAUCUCGACAUGUAUAGUCAGUCCCCCACAUCUCAACGUGUAUAGUUAGUCCCCCACAUCUCAACAUGUAUAGUCAGUCCCCCACAUCUCAACAUGUACAGUCAGUCCCCCACAUCUCAGCAUGUACAGUCAGUCCCCCACAUCUCAACAUGUACAGUCAAUCCCCUACAUCUCAACAUGUACAGUCAGUCCCCCACAUCUCAACAUGUAUAGUCAGUCCCCUACAUCUCAACAUGUAUAGUCAGUCCCCUAUAUCUCAACAUGUAUAGUCAGUCCCCUAUAUCUCAACAUGUACAGUCCCCCACAUCUCAACAUGUAUAGUCAGUCCCCUAUAUCUCAACAUGUAUAGUCAGUCCCCUAUAUCUCAACAUGUAUAGUCAGUCCCCUAUAUCUCAACAUGUAUAGUCAGUCCCAUAUAUAUCAACAUGUAUAGUCAGUCCC
ensembl:lncRNA